UAUACGCUUACGCACAGGGCUAAACAUGUUCUGUGACGGGCCAUGCUAGUGUCACUGCUCCGUUAGUAUCGCUACAACAGUUUGGCAAUUUUCCCAUAUCAAAAACCAAAGUUUGGAAACAUGGAUAACACAAGUCGACUUGGAAUUAUUCUGUGGAUUUAUUUGAGUAUAUUUGUGCAGAUGACAGUCGCUGAAAAAGGGUUUUCAACGGUAAAGUUGCGCCCCUUCGAUAGUGGUUACGACGACGAGCUGUGGAAACCUUACACGGGUAACAGUUUAAAGGAAGAUUACGAACCCACUAUGGAAAUAUAUCGAUACUACCAACUCCUGAAUGUUUCUUCUAAAGCGGCGAGGGAGAUUAACAUAAACAUUGAGCUAGAGACCAAGGUGGAGCUACUAGUUGAGGAGUGGCCUGGAGACUAUGCCCACUUUGAGUUGGUAACCUAUUCCGCAUUUUCCAGGGCGGCCGAGCCAGACAUCAAGAUGUCUCAUGUUGUCGUGGAAACAGGCCGAGCACAACACAUACAGUUACAUGUGGGCUCAACCUUUAGCCGUACAGAGUUGCCAGGGAUAACAGGAGGGCUCAUAUCUGCCAUUGUGCUUCUACUGUCUGUAGCACUGUUUUGUCAAGGGGAGAGAAUCCAACAUCGCAAGAAGAAAAGAAAAAGGUGCAAUUCAGUGGGAGAACCUAUAGUGGCGACCCAGGAUCACAAUUCUGUCCGACCAACACCCAAUUCUGUCAUGUUAGCCCCUGUGUGGGGUCAGGACCACCCUCCCGGGGAACAGGACACGCCCCACCGUGACAUAAUUGUACCUCAUUCCGGAGACAGUUCAGAAGACACACAGGGCCAGGUAUAUGACAACAGACAUGGUGAUACAUCAUUAUUGAAGGACCAUGUACAAGAAACAGUUUUAAGAACAACAACUAAUGGAAAAUCUUCAGUCCUUAAACAGAAUGAUCUCAAGGUGGAAGCACAGAGUCUCCGUCAGCCCGCUGUCAACACCGUUACCAUAGAAACAACCAAGAUGUCUGCCCAGGUGGUGUCGUCAUGGUUGUGUCACCAUGUAUGUUCCAGCCAGAAAAUCCUCUUCAGCAAUCCCGGAAAACUGUCCAAACCUGCCCUCGUCUGUUUCUGUGUGAUGUUUUCACUGGCAGUUGUUUAUGCAGUGCAGCACGGGACACCGUCGAAACAUGUUCUUAAAGUAUUCCUCCCACAGACCUCAUUAAUUCGGAGGGUGCGGUCCUACAGUGAGAGCCCUGACUUGUCCAGCCUAUCUAUCAACACGUCGAGCCUCUCCCUGGUCACUCACGUCCGCCUCAUGGACUUGAGAGACCCAUGUAAGAAGAACCUUACUGCUUGUGAUACAUAUGCCUUAUGUGAAGCUGGGUUUGGCGCCCUUAAAUGUAGAUGUCAACGAGGAUUCUACUUAGAGGGAAAUAAGUGUCAACCCUGUACUACCUCAGUGCCUGAAGGGUUCUACAUGAAGGAGAGCUGUACUGUUGAUAGAGACGUUGUAUUUAGAGAAUGUUCCAAAUGUAAGGGGUCAGAAUACCAAGUGGCGACGUGUACUACCACUCAGAACACCAUGUGUCUUGAUGUGUCAUUUCCUUUAGAUCAUUUUAAAUGGAAUUCAACCUACCUUAAAGCAGGUAAUUUUACACCAGAAGUUCAUACCUCAAAGAAUGUGUUUGUUGAGAAGAUCAGCGGAAUGAAGGACGUGGACACACCAGUUUAUGUAGCCAACAACCAACAGUCCAUGCAGUUCACGUUCCCCCGUGAAUCAGGUCUACAGGUCAAGGUCAGGGUGUCCGACAUCUUCCUCGUCCCUGAGUACAUAGACCUGGACCACACCGACGACAGCAACUUCUUCCUCACGGACAUCUACCAGAAAAGCGAAUUAGCAGCCCAUUUUGUUCAGAUUCAGAACAAUUACUGCAGACACCCAAUGCCUGACCACUACAAGAUGAUGCUAGAACUGUUUCGGGACUUCACCUCCGCAGCCAGAGUGGUCAGUUGUCCAACGAAGGGUACAGAUCCUCCUCAGUGUCCUCCAGACUACUUCAAGGAUGACCAGUACUUAGAGCGGUCAUACACCACACCGUGUCCAGAGAGGCCUGGAAACUUCUCUCAGCUUCGUCAGGCCCCAAACAUCAUCUACUGUUCUGAGGAUACAGUCUUACUGAGGGAGACGUUCCGUGUGACGGCUGCUGAUGUGACUCCAUUGAGCUUUCCGUCCCCUGAGUGUAAAGGCUACCAGGAGGAGUGUCAGCGCUGUGUAAAUAAGAACUUGUGUAACCCAUCCACAGGUCUGUCUGGAGACGCAUGCUGCAGUGUGUCCUGUUUCAACAAGUAUGCUUGUCUACAGGCCUUCAGUUCAGCGUGUCCACCCCAACCGGUCAAGUGUGCAGCAGGAGACCUGUACCUGUUUUCUCUGGAGCCAAAGUUUGAUACCAUAGAACAGCGAUUUAUGUGUCACCUCCAAUACAAAAAACCAAAGAAACUCUACAAAGUCGAGUACUUUGUUACUAUACCACACAUGAAUUUCUCCUCUGCUGUCAGAACAAAGGUCAUCUACGCCGAGAACAAGACAUACCACAAAUUUGGACACAACAGUGCCGAUUAUCUGUCAUUCUUCCAUGAUGCUGUGUCGGAUAUAAACAAUGAGGUUAUCGUCAUUGGUAACAGGUUUCAGAAUGGCCAGGCUAAAAAAUUCAAAUUUCACAAGUUAAAAGAGCCAAACGAUUUUAACAGGAAAAAGAGAUUCAAAGUGCGGAAUCAUCGAUCCGACUUGAUACCCAAUAACGUCUACUCUACCCAUGUCCAGCUUGAGCGUCCAUUUCUCUACAGUUCUUCAGGAUGGAGUCAGGGUGGAUGUCUGGCCAAAAACUUCUCCAAGAUCUACGCACCCCAGCCAAUGUACAAGUCGGGGGGCAUUGAUGUAGAACCGACCAUCAUCAAGAUCAAAGACAGGUUUGAGUAUCAGAUCGCUCCGACAUCUCGUGCACCGUACAUACGCUUCUUCCUAAUUGGAAAUGAAUCUGUGCUGAGCUACUACGAUGACUUAAAAACCACAGUUAGAAAUGGCAGUCUAACAGGGUCUGUCAUCUGGGACCAAUGGGCACAGAAGUGGAACAUCACUGUCAAAGGUUCUCUCACCAACUCUCCUGCUUAUCUCACUAUGGAUGUGUUUGACAAGUUUAUGACGUCAUACCUUGGGCUUCAUGACAUCUUAGUCAUGCCACCAAACAAUUUCUCCAUUACUAUUCAACUUCCAAAGACACCAAACGUCAUACCGGACAUUUUUAUCGUGAAUAUCAAUGAUUCUGUGACGUGUCAUAGAAUGAGUAUCUCCGUCAUCGACAGCCCUAUCAUUGUCACUGCUGAUCUAGAUCCGUCAGAUCCUGAGCUUCAACACGAGCCCAACUUUCCGUGGAUACCAAUCAUUGUGACUCUUGCCGUGGCCGCGAUGGUCUUGGCAGGAUUUGUAGUGUUAGCAAUUGUGAUAAAUAGUAAAAGUGGUGAGAACGAGAGUUUUAUGUCCAGAUAUACCUUUUUGAUCGUGCCUCGGGAAGAGGACCGAAUGAAACCUGACGGUCACCCUAACGUUCAGGGAAGGCCGAUUUCCAAGGUAGUGAUGGUUGUACUCCUUGUUCUGUAUGCACUGUAUGCCAUUGUUUUUACAUUUUCCAUGUUACUUGGCAUGUUCUACAUGGUACAGAGCCCCCUGGUGAGCAACCUCACAAUUGUCUCCAACACCAGCGCAAAGAUUCAAGAGGCCGUCGGCAAGCACUUCCGUGAAAUGGAAGAUUUUGAAAGCCAGCAAGUUACUAGAAUGUUUAAUCAAACACAUGAUCGACUUCAGGCUUGCUCACAUCAUUUGAAAGAAAAUGCAGAGAAAAUAUUCCAUGAUGUUUACAACAGUAUUGAAAAAGACAUAAAAACAUUGUAUAGCCAAAAUGGAACUCUUCAUCAUCUCCUUGUGGGCAUAUUAGAAGAACGAUCCAAAACCGUCCGUGUAAAAAUAGACGUUUAUUUCGAAAACUGUAACAACGCUAUACAGACUUAUUUUGAAUCAUUUUUAGAUAAGUAUGUAGGCUUCCUUCAUGAUGUAUCUAACGUUGCCUGGCUUAGUAAUCCCCGAACCUUGUUUAUGGACCAAGAGGGUAUAUUCGACACUCGCCUCUCUCUGACUGAAGACGUGACGGAGUUUCUCCAGUGGCUGGAGAUUGAGAAGGUUUCAAGUGUUCUGGAGGUGAAGGAACGCCUUAUUGCUAGGCUGCAGCGCUCUCUACCGAAUGUAGAAAUAGAAAUCCCCCUGGACAAAGAUGUCGGUGUGAUAUCUAAGUCAGCCCUAGACUGGACAACCAUCAAAUCCCAGGUCUAUCAGAAGCACUUCGUACUUCGCCAGCAAACUUUCUACCGCAGAGGCGGAGAAACUGAGGCAGUUAACACUAGUGUACACACACACAAUGCUAUGGCUGAACAGGCAGCUUCUAAAGCUAGUCUUAUGUCCGGCAUGAAGGGAGUUCUUCUGCCUGUUUUCAUCUGUGUGUUCAUCGUCAUGGAUAUAUUCCUGUUGUUGUAUCGAUUUACAUGGCUACGUCAGAUGUUUCAGAAAGCAAAACUGGGAGCCGAAGAAAAAAUUCCUACUGACUCUGUCGCGAAAAAGAUUCAUUUUAUGUUGACGGGUCAUGAAUCCGAUCAUCCGUACGACCCUCUUGAUAAUCCUUACCAUUAUUACAUAGAAAACAAGGAGGACAUUUGGAAUGGGAAAAAUGACCUGUACCUCAAGUUUUGUAGAGCAUCACCAAAGUCAAAAGAGGAUAUUUUACUUGAAAUUUGGAAUCACAAAAAGCGUCAAAAGCAUACAGGCACAGCGACAAGUGAGGAGGAAUGUUUGUGUGUGUAUAGUUUUAUUAGACUACUAAAGCUUCUGUAUAAACACCUCAUAUCACCGAUUCUCUGGAGAUUUGUGCUAGUCGGGUCAUUCGUGUUGAUAAUCUGCAUUGUUAUAAAAGCCUCAGAUGACCUUGUGACAUUGGAGACAGCAACGUUUCUCAUGGAUACAAGGUCAACCUUGCCUCAGUUUCAUAGACAGAUCGAGGUCACCAACAACUUGUUAUCAGACUUACAUCUGUACACAAAUGACUUUAUUCAGGACUUUCAAUCUAUGGUAGACAUGGAAGUUAAAUUUGGGAAUAAUCUACUGAAGGACAUAGCUAGUCAACAGAAAACGGCCCUUCAGUCCGUGCUCACUCAGCUUUGUACGACCAACUAUACACUGUGUGCCACGCCCUUCCCUGACGUCCACCUGGCCGACACCCUCUUGGCCUGUAACUUCCUCCCUGUCAGUGUACAGUACUUCAAAGAUUUCAAUGACCAGAAGUUUAUGGAGUACCUCCAUGCAGAGUUAUUCCCCUUGGUCAGCAUUCUUCGCCAGCUUCUAUUCAACACCUGUUACAUACUGUUUGCGUAUGCAUGCUUGAUGCUGAUAAGCCAUAUUUUUAUAAGAGUUGUGUUGCUAUAUUUGAAAAAGACGAGCAGACUUCCACGAGUGUUCAUGUUCUUAGUGUCGAAUGCUAACGACUGCUGGAAGGAACACCAUGUAAACAACCCAAAUAAGGACAUCUACCGCAGUAACUCCUGGAUCGAGAGCUGUGAGAGCGGAGUUGUUGGUGAUAUGGACGACCAUCUCCGCGAACCAAAUGCAUAAUUUCCCGUUAUUUAUAAACUCAUGCCCACCAAUAAUGAUCAACUAAUGCAGGGAGGUCCAUACAGGGAUUGAAUAGAAUCAGCAAAUAUAAUAAAACAUUUUUAUUUUGGUGCCAGUUUCACAAUUUGCUGAAUUUAUGCUUGUGAUAUUUUGUCUGGAAUAAUUUUCUUGGUUUUUUAGAAGUUUUUUAUAUCAUUGAUAUAAAGAAGUGUGGAAUCACAGUAAUGUCUUUAUCAGGUUCCUUAUUAUUGUAAAGUUCGAGUACCACUGCUUAGCUGACAUUGUCAAACGACAGUCACGACUCUCCACAGGAACUAUAAAACACAUUCAUGCCAGUUCUAUUAUAACUCGUUUACCCCUAAAGAAACAAUUGAACUCUUCCAAUUCAAAGGUUGGAAUAGUUCAUUAUGAAAUUUCAGGGGUGAAUGAUUUAAACAAAGGAGGAAGAUACCAGUUAAGUGGCGGUUCCAGGUACAUUAUUCAAGGACAUUACAUUACCACAACCUAAAUUCAGUGUAAAGGUUUUAGAAUUAUCAUAUACAAUUUGUUGUAUCUAGGUUGUAUUGUGUACAACCAUCUAAGCAUUUCACAAACAGCAUUUAUUUUAUUUUAUGUAUUAAACAAGUACUGUUGAUGAAGUACAUAGGCUUCGCUUUACCACUUUACAGUUUUACUAAAGAUGACUCAUCCACUGCUGUUACGUGCAUCACGUGUAUAAACAAACAUAUAACAACAUGGUAAAAUAUCAGGAAAUUUUAAAAUCAUUUUAAGAAUAGAACGCAGCUUUGAUAUCCUAUUGUUCUUGUGCUUAGUGAUAAAACAUUUGUGAAAUCAUUUAGUUUUAGUGAGGGAUGUUAAGGUAAGUUUUGUUGACACUGUCCUUAAACCACAAAUUCAUGUUCAUGACCAAUAGAUCUAGAGCAGAUCAUCAUACAUGUCGAUACUAUUAAGUUCAACGAUUCAAUAACAUUAUGUUUGCUUUUCUGAGUUAAAAGGAGGCUUUGCCUAUAAACAUUACAGAAGUGUUUCCAUUACAACAAGUCUGGGGUUUCCUUCAACGUUUAUUAGUGGGUUUUUUGAUGAAUCAAUGGGUUUGUUCAUAGAGAUGGUUGGAUAACCAACCUCACACAAAAAUCAGUCAUAACGAUUGGUGUGCGAGUUGUUAAGUUUUUUAUUUCUCACAAUAAAAUAUCAUGUUGUGUGUCAGUUGUGAGUUUUUGCAUUUCUCACAAUAAAAUUACUUGCUGAGUGUGAGUUUAGGUGAGUUUUUGUAUUCCUCACAACAAUACUACUUUCUGUGUGUGCGUUGAGGUGAGUUUUUGCAUUUCUCGCAAUAGAACUACAAGCUGAUCGAGUGUGAGUUGGUUAUUAUAGUGGUAGUACUGUUGCUUUCCCCUCUCCUUUCUCUAUGUAGGCAUCCCUAGAAGUCUUUUCAAACAUUGUAAAUGUCAUAUUCUGGAUUUCAUGAUGAAUCAAUUCACUUUAUUAUCAGAAAGUUCCUCUGUAUCAGUUUACAUGUAAAACUUGUAAAUUGUUUUCUUUAUUGUUCAUGACUAAAUUCAGGACGCUAGGACUCAUCCUAAAAUUCCAUGAAUUACAUUCUCUAAGGUACUCAACACCCCUAGGAAUGUCAGGCUCUGUACACACCUAGGAAUAUCUGGCUCUGUACACCCCCAGGAAUGUCAGGCUCUGUACACCCCUAGGAAUGGCAGGCUCUGUACACCCCUAGGAAUGUCAGGCUUUGUACACACCUAGGAAUGUCAGGCUCUGUACACCCCUAGGAACGUCAGGCGCUGUACACCCCUAGGAACGUCAGGCUCUGUACACACCUAGGAACAUCAGGCUCUGUACACCCCUAGGAACAUCAGGCUCUGUACCCCCCUAGGAAUGUCAGGCUCUGUACACCCCUAGGACUGUCAGGCUCUGUACACCCCUAGGAAUGUCAGGAACUCUACACCCGUAGGAAUGUCAGGGUACUCUACACCCCUAGGAAUGUCAGGCUCUGUACACCCCUAGGAAUGUCGGGCUCUGUACACCCGUAGGAAUGUCAGGCUCUCUACACCCCUAGGAACAUCAGGCUCUGUACACCCCUAGGAACGUCAGGAUCUGUACACCCCUAGAAAUGUCAGGCUCUGUACACGCCUAGGAAAAUCAGGCUCUGUACACCCCUAGGAACGUCAGGCUCUGUACACCCCUAGGAAUGUCAGGUACUCUACACCCCUAGGAAUGUCAGGCUCUGUACAUCCCUAGGAACGUCAGGUACUCUACACCCCUAGGAAUGUCAGCCUCUUUACACCCCUAGGAAUGUCAGGCUCUGUACACCCCUAGGAAUGUCAAGCUCUCUAAACCCCUAGGAAUGUCAGGCUCUUUAAACCCCUAGGAAUGUCAGGCUCUGUACACCCCUAGGAAUGUCUGGCUCUUUACAUCCCUAGGAAUGUCGGGCUCUGUACACCCCUAGGAACGUCGGGCUCUGUACACCCCUCGGAACGUCAGGCUCUGUACACCCCUAGGAACGUCAGGCUCUGUACACCCCCAGGAAUGCUACACUCUCUACACCCCUAGGAACGUCAUGCUCUGUACACCCCUAGGAAUGCUACACUCUCUACAGCCCUAGGAAC
rnacentral:misc_RNA from 1 species